rnacentral:rRNA from 1 species
CGCGAAUAGCUCAUUACAACAGCUAUAAUUCACUUGAUCUUGACACAAUCCUACUUGGAUAACUGUGGUAAUUCUAGAGCUAAUACAUGCAUUAAAGCUCUGACCUCACGGGAAGAGUGCAUUUAUUAGAACAAAACCAAGCGGCUUCGGCUGUUUUCGGUUGACUCAUAGUAACUGAGCUGAUCGCAUGGUCUUGCACCGGCGACGUGUCUUUCAAGUAUCUGCCGUAUCAACUUUCGAUGGUAGUGUAUCUGACUACCAUGGUGAUCACGCGUAACGGAGAAUAAGGGUUCGACUCCGGAGAGUUCGCCUGAGAAAUCGCGAACACAUCUAAGGAAGGCAGCAGGCGCGAAAAUUACCCACUCUCAGCACGAGGAGGUAGCGACGAAAAAUAACGAGACCGUUCUCUUAUGAGGCCGGUCAUCGGAAUGGGUACAAUUUAAACCCUUUAACGAGUAUCUAUGAGAGGGCAAGUCUGGGGCCAGCAGCCGCGGUAAUUCCAGCU